GAUGAACGCUGGCGGCGUGCCUAAUACAUGCAAGUCGAGCGAACGGACGAGAAGCUUGCUUUUCUGAUGUUAGCGGCGGACGGGUGAGUAACACGUGGAUAACCUACCUAUAAGACUGGGAUAACUUCGGGAAACCGGAGCUAAUACCGGAUAAUAUUUUGAACCGCAUGGUUCAAAAGUGAAAGACGGUCUUGCUGUCACUUAUAGAUGGAUCCGCGCUGCAUUAGCUAGUUGGUAAGGUAACGGCUUACCAAGGCAACGAUGCAUAGCCGACCUGAGAGGGUGAUCGGCCACACUGGAACAGAGACGCGGUCCAGACUCCUACGGGAGGCAGCAGUAGGGAAUCUUCCGCAAUGGGCGAAAGCCUGACGGAGCAACGCCGCGUGAGUGAUGAAGGUCUUCGGAUCGUAAAACUCUGUUAUUAGGGAAGAACAUAUGUGUAAGUAACUGUGCACAUCUUGACGGUACCUAAUCAGAAAGCCACGGCUAACUACGUG
rnacentral:rRNA from 1 species